rnacentral:misc_RNA from 1 species
CGAAAUGCGAUAAGUAAUGUGAAUUGCAGAAUUCAGUGAAUCAUCGAAUCUUUGAACGCACCUUGCGCUCCUUGGUAUUCCUUGGAGCAUGCCUGUUUGAGUAUCAUGAAAUCUUCAAAGUAAAUCUUUUGUUAACUCAAUUGGUUUCUACUUUGGUAUUGGAGGUCUUUGCAGCUUCACACCUGCUCCUCUUUGUUCAUUAGCUGGAUCUCAGUGUUAUGCUUGGUUCCGCUCGGCGUGAUAAGUUAUCUAUCGCUGAGGACACUGUAAAAGGUGGCCAAGGUAAAUGCAGAUGAACCGCUUCUAAUAGUCCAUUGACUUGGACAAUACUUUUAUGAUCUGAUCUCAAAUCAGGUAGGACUACCCGCUGAACUUAAGC